UACGGGGGGGGGCAAGCGUUGUUCGGAAUUACUGGGCGUAAAGGGCUCGUAGGCGGCCAACUAAGUCGGACGUGAAAUCCCUCGGCUUAACCGGGGAACUGCGUCCGAUACUGGAUGGCUUGAGUUCGGGAGAGGGAUGCGGAAUUCCAGGUGUAGCGGUGAAAUGCGUAGAUAUCUGGAGGAACACCGGUGGCGAAGGCGGCAUCCUGGACCGACACUGACGCUGGAGGAGCGAAAGCCAGGGGAGCAAAACGGGG
rnacentral:rRNA from 1 species